rnacentral:lncRNA from 1 species
CCUUUUGAUGGUGUCUCAUAAAUCAAUGGGAUAGUAUCCGCAGUGAAAUUGAAGAACAGUGGUGGUUUAUCAGGAAAGUGAUCACCGUAAACACCAUUGAUUUGAUUAUAAUAAGCUCUUAGUAUAUCCAUACGUGUAGGUGUUUGAAAGCUUAUGUUGUUCACACUAGCAGCUAGUCUAGACUGAUUCGCCCCACAAGAAGUGUUUGCACACGUAAAUAUAUUAACAGAAACAGUGAAAAAUAAUGGAGUGCUUAUGCUCAUGGGGACAUGAAUUGGAUGGUUAUUAUCAGCUAAGCUUCUAAGACGGCCAGUGAAAUUAACCGAUGCAGUUGUGUCAUUAAAAUAAGGAAGGUAUGGCAAUGAGAGAGUGGAGGAUGGAGUGUAGUUGCCAUUGUACUGGACAAUGGCUGUGGUUGUUGUGUUGUCAUAUUGCACACCAUUGGCACUAGAGUAAACUUUUGCAGCCAUGUAAUAGUGGUCCAGUGGUUGGUUUGCUUCUAAUAAAACAUCAAUGGUUUGGCCAGGUGAUAUUGCUAUAUAAUCAACUUUCAGUGGUUUAGUGUAGCUGGCAUCUGUGCCGACCACUGUGACUUGAUGAUUGGUGAUGGAGAAAAAGACAAUGUCUUGAAGGGCAGCAUUAAUUAGGCGAAGAAGGUAAGUCUUGCCAUAGUCCACCGAUAGCUUGAAUGUAUCUGCAGUUAGAAAGACAAGGUUUUGAUUUAAUAGCUUUAAACUAUACAAACGUUCCACUGAGUUAUAGAUUCUUCCCUCUCUCAACAAAUUUCAAGUCGAAUCUCUCGUUUGAAAUAAGAAUGAUGAUGAUGAUGAUAAUAAAACACAAAUUAACAUGUAAUAUAUUAAGGAUGCAAUGCAGUAACCAUUUGAUUGUUUGGGCCGGGAGGAAAGAAUAGGCUUCUAAGAAUUCAUGGGUAACUUUCAUUUUGCCCCACAUGUUUAUAUAUUGCUCAUUUUCAUCUAAAACCUUUGAUUUAUUCCAAUUAAAUCCUAACUCUUUCAUCUUCUUCCAAUCAGCCCCCCAUCUUUUAUUUUAUUCCAACCAGCCCCCCAUCUUUUACUUUUGUUCCAAUUUCCGCCCUCCGUUCAUUUUCAGUGGGUGUGUGUUUAUAAAAUAUCUCAAUAUCAUCUAAAAAUAAAGAAAAAAAAUAUUAAAAAAUUGAAUUAACAAAAACAAAAAGAAAAAUUAAGCUUCAAUAUAAUUUUUUUUGCGUGUUUAAGAUGAUGGUAAAAAUUGUUUUUCAUAGUAUUUUUCACUUGAAAAUGUAUUAAAAUAAUUUUUUUAAUUUUUUUUAAUAUAAAUACAUCAAAACGAUCCAAAAACAUUAAAAAAAUUAAUUUAAAAACAAUUAAAAUUUUUCAAAAGCGAACUGCAAAAACAAACUCAGUUGUAUGGUACUUUUCAAAAGUGAUUUUUGCUUGGAAUUAUGUUUUUAAAAUUUUUUUCACCCUACCAUAUUAAAACCAUUAAAAAUCACUAAAAAAACAUCAAUAUAAUAUUUUUAAAAAACUAAAUACAUUUUUGUAAUGCAUCUAAACACAAUUUUUUUCCUAAAAAAAACAUAGCUGAAUCAAAGGGGUAGUACUCUGGAUGUUAAAGAAAUAUAAGGCUAAAUGAAAAGAGAAAAUCUAAGCAAUGGUACAGUGGCAUUGUACCCGAUUUUGAGCAAGGAUAAAGGUCACCGGGUUGACCAUUGAUCGUGUAAGAAUCAGAGACAUUGGGGUCUGCUCCCGAGGCACGGAAUUGAUCAAAGAUUUCAAAUAUGUCCUUCUUCCACCACUCUCCUGCAUUUCAUGAAUCAGUGGUCAAUACUGCAUUCAAAUCUUCCACGGCUUUAAGAACUGAAGUUUUCUUUUAAAAUUGAUGCUAUUAUACCUAGAAUAAUCGGCACGUCUGCAUGAGGCGCAGGGAAAGGAUAUUCGGUUCCUUUCUUGGGAUAUAUGACAAUCGCACCAUAAACAGUUGCUCGUGUCCAGUCACUGUGAGCAUGCCACCAUAAUGUUCCUUCUUCGUCAGAGAAUAUGACCCUCUGCUUGAAUUUUCCUCCUGGUUGAAUUGGACACUGUGUGAUAUAUUCAGGACCAUCUGACCAUGGAUAUUUUGGCUGAUUCACUCCAUGCCUAGGAUUAACAGUGUUAAUAUUGUUAUCUCUGCCGCCAUGCAUAUCGUGGAUUUGCAGGGUAAACAACCCAAACUUCCAGACAGAAGAUCAGAUGUAUAUAGAGGGACUUACCAGUGAAUGGUGAUGUUAUGAGGGCUCUUGUUAAUAACAUCCACGAUGAUGGUUUCUCCUUUAGUGACGUAUAGUGUCGGGCCAGGAAACUGUCCAUUGACGGUCAUUAUGUUCUUGGUGCUGCAGAGUCUUGUGUAUGGAACAUCUUUUACCUACAAUGAAUGUGCACAUACGCAAAACUACAAAUUAUGAAUGAGCUUAUAAAGUAAAACAUCUAAUCUCCUAGUUAUUACGUGUACGUACCAGUUUUUUUUUUUUUUUUGGAAAAAGUCGAUAUAAUAAAAGAGUAACAGAAGAUAGCUAAAAAUAAAAUAGAACAAAGAAUGUGACCCGUGCACCGAUGAUCAUUCUAGAAUCUAUUUCUUCUUAAUGUUAACAUUUUUCCUUUUCAUAUCAUAAAAAGAAAGUUGAACUUAUGUUAGAUCGCAUGAAAAAAAAAAAAAAAUCAGCACAUAGUACAUACCACAAAAGUAUGAUGAACUAUAGCUUGGCAACAUAGGAAACCACCAAAUAAUAGAAACCUUAAAAUUUGGAAGGCUAGAACUCUCAUGAUUGGUAUCAUUUUCUUAGCAACGAAUAUAUUCUUGUUUCACUCUUGAUGACCAACCGAGCUGUUAUGCCGGUAUUUAUAGGUAACAAGGAGCAAGACGGCAAUUUAGCUGGAGAAUUGUUCAAGAUAAUUUUGUAUUUCUCAACACCCAAUUAAAUGCAAAGUGUUCAUUAACUACUUCGAAAACUAUGGGGUUUGAGUGAACGUCUCUCUCUCUCUCUCUCUCUCUCCACUCUCGAUAUAAUCACUGUUACUCGAUUGUUUGACUCUGCUUUAACAUUGUCAAAGCUGAGUGUGACUCGUUAGCAUUUGUUUUUGGCUUUAGUGAAAGCUAACAACAUGAAUUCCCGUACCAGAAAAUGGAGUACGUGGAAAAACAAUUCUACAUAGGAGUAUGUGGAAGAAAAAACACUGAGGAAGCUGAUUUAUAAUCGAGAUCAAACAAGAAAGUCAAAGUCGGGACAAAAAAUAACCCUAAGAUAAGGAGAUCUGGGGAACAAUUUUUUUCUCGCUAAAUGCACUAACCAGGAUGACCGGGAGUUUGCUAAAAACUCAGGAAUGCUUGUGAUUUUUUAUUUAGAGAGUGUCUAGCAAUGUGAUAGCGGUUGCUUUUUAAAUAAUUUUUUAUGUCGAAAUGCAUGUCAAUGAUAUUUUUUUAUUUUUAAAAAAUUAUUUUUGACAUCAGCACAUCAAAACGAUCCAAAACAUACAAACCAUAUUAAAUUUUAACUAAAAUAAAAAUUUAAAUUUUUUGGGAACGCAGUUUGCACCGCGUUCCCAAACAUGUUCUAAGGCUAGGUGCAUGAGUCUGUUUCUAUUUUUGAUUUUUUUAAUUUAAUUUUUUUAAUAAUUAAUUUAAAAUAUUAUAAAAAUAUUAAAUUCUUAAAUUCUUAAAAUAAUUAAGAAUAUAUUGAUGUAACCCCUCAGUUUUUUAGAGUAUUUUUAUAUCAUCUCGUUCACGAAUCAUUUUAAUUAUUUGUAAAUAUUUGAUAAGCAUCAAGUAGAUUUCUUUUAUAUAUAUAUAUAUAUAUAUAUAUAUAUAUAUCCACUAUCAAAAUUUUAAUAGAGUUUUAUUUGUACUAGUAACAUACCAAGUCAUGAUAACUUCAUUCAUUUCAUCAAAUUCAAUCUUAAUCAUGACUCAUCCAUCCUAUUCUUUAUUUCACAAUAUUCCCACUACUCAAGAAUAGUUUGCAAUGAUUUGCAACAAAGAGGAAUAAAUUGAGAUACAAAGAGUAAGAACAACUUAUUUAAAUAUUACACAUUAAUCGGCGCAAUUAAAUGGUCUAAAGUAUACUAUAUAUUUUGAGUACUUUGUUUGCAUUUGAUUUGUUAAUUUCAAGUUUCGUCAAAGAGUGAUUACAGGUUAAAAUACUUUUUUAGUAAAUUUAUCUUGUCACGCGAAGGGCAAACUUGGAUACGCCUGCUGUCAUUGCCAGUCACAGUCAUAAUUAUUCUUGGUCUUGCCAUUUUACUAUUAAUUAACUAAUUGUUUAAUUAAUCAAUGAAACCGUGCGUUUCUUAUGUGAUUUUUCAAAGACGGCCAUGAAUGAUUCUUUGAAUUCGCGUGAAAUGUCGUGUUUUCAACAGAUGAGGUGUUCAUAGGAUGUCAAUACAGACCAAUGAAAUGGACCUUCCUCGGCUGAUAUAUUAACUGAUCUGGCUAUCUAACAGGUUGUUGAUUUUUUUUUAAAAUAAAUUUAAAUAUACAGGUUAUUUUAAUAUGUUUAUUUUAAUACAAAAUUCAAAAAAUCAAUGCAAUCAUCUAAUUAUAUUUUAAAAAAUAUUAAUAAUAGAAAAAAUAGAAAAAAAUUAAGAGAUAAAUCUAAAUUAAGAUAUUCAAUCACCAAAAUUAAGACAUUUAACUAAUUAUAUUUAUUAAACUUGUUUAUUUAAAUCAAUAAAAAUUAAUAGAAACACAAAUGAAAUUGAUUGAAUAAACUCACACCAUAAAAAACUAUUAUGCAAGGCCCAACAUAUUAGAAAUAUUAUUUAAAAAUAAGUAUUUUUUAUUAUAAAAAAUAAAGUUCAUUUAUAUAUAUAUAAAAUAAUAGAUGAGUUAAAAUAAUUACUUAGAAAUCAAACACAAAUAAAAAAAAGUUAUAUUAAAAAAAACAUGCAAAACUUAUAAUCUAGAUCAUGAGAUCGAGAUAUAAUCAUAAAAAAAAAAUUAAAGAGAACCACAAAACUAAUAUUUAACCAAAAAAAAAAAAACCUAAUAUAAAACAAUAAAAUCAUAUGAAAUUUUCACUAUGAAAAAACUAUUUUGUUGACUUUUCCUUAGUUGAAGAAGUUUUGAAUGUAGCUAACAGUCGUAUGAUAAAAGGAUAUUUCUCAAAAUCUUGAAAGCGAUGCAACUUUGUACGUGGAGUUUAAUAAUCUGCUGAUUCCACUGGAUUAACACGAAAGAAUCUCUCUUUGGGCAUUGUUGGUCAAGGAACAGCACGAUUUCUUGAAGAAUGAUGCACGAUCGAUUACUUCCACGAAAUAAAAGUGACUAGAUUUUGCUAUUAUUAAAUUUUCUUCUAGAUCUACUAAAGAAAAGAUGACUUUUAAAUUUUAAAAAUUAUUUUUAACAUCAACGUAUUAAAAUAAAAAAUAUAUAUAAAAAAAAUUUAAUAAAAAAUUUAAUUUUAAAAAAUAUGGUUUGAAUUACAUUUCCAUCAAAAAAAUAAUAAUAUUGCCCAUAAAUGCCAAUGAUAAUUUUAUUAUGUUGAGGAACUAACCAGGAGGAGCAACAUCUUUAUGUGCACUUACGUGAAACUUUAGCUUAUGAAAUAAUUCCAAAACAAUGUUUUACCAAACGGGCAAUAUUUAACUCAUCGUAGGCUGUAGCUAGCUAGCUAGCUCCUCUAAUGUUAGCACUUAAUUUUUUUGACUCAUUCUAAGCCAUGCACGCACGUAAUGAUCUCAUAGUUUAUGUUAGAGCAGACUUCCUAUAUAUUACGAAGUUUAAAAUAUUUUUAAAAUACAAAAAUAAAUAAACAAAUAAAUGAUAGCACAUAUAUAGUAUUUUUUAGUGGUUACAUGCAUGUAUCUAACUCCUAAGAUCACAUUGGAAAUUUAUCACAAAAAAACACGUCCUGGCUAAUUCUUUUAUGCUGCCGUAUGAAAGGGGGAAAUUAAUGGAAAUUAAGUUUUCAGUGAAUAUUUUUCUUCUGUACUGUCCUUGCAGUGAAUAAAAAUACAUAUUCACAAAAAAAAAGGUAUUUUUUAGCAAACAUAUCUUUUUUAUUCAUUUUUUAAAUUUAAUAAAAAUACGUCUUUUUUUUUAUUAGGAACAUGAUUUUUGAAUAAAAGCUAGGAGAAACCAAACUAAAUAUUGUAAACAUUUCCAAUAAUUUGAAUUAAAGAGAAAAAAUAUUUUCCUAUCAUGCCACACGAUCUGUUGCCUUUGUUUCGAGUGCUCCCAAAAGUAUUAAAAAAAAAUCGUUUUUGAAAAAACUUAACGAUCCCACACACACACGCUAAUCAUCUAGAUUAUAGGUACAAAUUAUAUAAAGCCUUAAGAGGGGUGAUCACCCAUGAAAAUAUUUAUUCAUGCAGGUAUGAGUUUUAUUGCAGAGGCCGGUACUGCGGCUACAAAAUAGAAAUAAUCAAAACCUACAUGCACCUAGGAUAUUUCCCAGCUUACAAUAUAAUAGCAGAACUAGGAUUACAGUAUCCUUGCAAAUCAUACAAUAAUAAAUUAAUAAUACAACCAAAUAAUUGGCAUAACAUAUGCUAAACAAACAAGAAGCGUUUAACACGGUGGCAUAUAGGGAGGUGGUGGUAGCAUUUGGGCUUUCUUGCCUCGACCGUUCUUGAUUAUGAAUGCCAUCUCCAUACCCCAUGACAGAUGACGCUCCAGAUGGCAGUGCACGAACCAUACUCCUGUUACAAAUAAAAUAGACACAUGAUGUUAGAUCUGCCUCGUAAUCAAGGUAAUAAAGAGAAAUAACACUCUUAAUAUCAUACUUUGCUGGUUAUUAUAUAUUUUAACUGGUUAUGCUACUUAUAUUUACCAGGAUUGGUAGCUUUGAAUCUUAUAACAGACCAGCCAUUUUUGGGAAUGACAAUGGUAUUUUGAAGAGGAGGGUCAACAAGAUUGUAUCUCAAAGGGUCUUUAUCCUUGUCGAAGUUGCCAAAUCCCCAACCAACAACAUAGAAGCUUGUUCCAUGUAUGUGCAUAGGAUGAUCAGUGCCAGCAGCCACAUUUGUCCCCUGAAAAACAAUCUCCACCGUCGAGUUAUACUCGAGCACUUUCACUUCUGUACCUUUUGAUGGUGUCUUAUAAAUCAAUGGGAUAGUAUCCGCAGUGAAAUUGAAGAACAAUGGUGGUUUAUCAGGAAAGUGAUCACCGUAAACACCAUUGAUUUGAUUAUAAUAAGCUCUUAGUAUAUCCAUACGUGUAGGUGUUUGAAAGCUUAUGUUGUUCACACUAGCAGCUAGUCUAGACUGAUUCGCCCCACAAGAAGUGUUUGCACACGUAAAUAUAUUAACAGAAACAGUGAAAAAUAAUGGAGUGCUUAUGCUCAUGGGGACAUAAAUUGGAUGGUUAUUAUCAGCUAAGCUUCUAAGACGGCCAGUGAAAUUAACC